rnacentral:rRNA from 1 species
GUGAUUGAUGAACUUCUAGAUGAACUUGCUGGUGCUGCUUGGUUCACUAAGCUAGACCUCAGAGCAGGUUACCAUCAAAUCAGGUUAGCUGCUGGGGAGGAGUAUAAAACUGCAUUUCAAACUCACUUAGGCCAUUAUGAAUUUUUAGUAGUGGCCAUGGGACUCAGUGAAGAUCCAGGCACUUUCCAAGGAGCAAUGAACACCACACUGUCUCCAGUUAACAGGAAAAAUGCUUUAGUCUUCUUUGAUGACAUAUUGAUUUUCAGCAAAUCUUAUCAGGAGCACUUGCAACAUGUUAGAGAGGUGUUGGCCCUACUCAGAGUUGAUCAGUGGAAAGUGAAAAUGUCCAAAUGUGCUUUUGCUCAA